CCUACGGGGGGCUGCAGUGGGGAAUAUUGCACAAUGGGGGAAACCCUGAUGCAGCGACGCAGCGUGCGGGAUGACGGCCUUCGGGUUGUAAACCGCUUUCAGCAGGGAAGCGGUACCUGCAGAAGAAGUACCGGCUAUACGUGCCAGCAGCCGCGGUAAUACGUGGGUACAAGCGUUGUCCGGAAUUAUUGGGCGUAAAGAGCUCGUAGGUGGUUGGUCACGUCUGCUGUGGAAACGCAACGCUUAACGUUGCGCGUGCAGUGGGUACGGGCUGACUAGAGUGCAGUAGGGGAGUCUGGAAUUCCUGGUGUAGCGGUGAAAUGCGCAGAUAUCAGGAGGAACACCGGUGGCGAAGGCGGGACUCUGGGCUGUACUGACACUGAGGAGCGAAAGCAUGGGGAGCGAACAGGAUUAGAUACCCUUGUAGUC
rnacentral:rRNA from 1 species